rnacentral:rRNA from 1 species
AGUCGAGCGGAGAUGUACUGAAGAUUUAUCGGAUGUACAUCUUAGCGGCGGACGGGUGAGUAACGCGUGGGCAACCUGCCUUCCACUGGGGGAUAACACAGGGAAACCUGUGCUAAUACCGCAUGACAUCACAUAGGGCAUCCUGUGUGAUCAAAGGAGUGAUCCGGUGGAAGAUGGGCCCGCGUCCGAUUAGCUAGUUGGUGAGGUAACGGCUCACCAAGGCGACGAUCGGUAGCCGGACUGAGAGGUUGGCCGGCCACAUUGGGACUGAGACACGGCCCAGACUCCUACGGGAGGCAGCAGUGGGGAAUAUUGCGCAAUGGGGGGAACCCUGACGCAGCGACGCCGCGUGAAGGAAGAAGGCCUUCGGGUUGUAAACUUCUUUGAUGAGGGACGAAGGAAGUGACGGUACCUCAAAAACAAGCCACGGCUAACUACGUGCCAGCAGCCGCGGUAAUACGUAGGUGGCGAGCGUUGUCCGGAAUUACUGGGUGUAAAGGGCGUGUAGGCGGGGAUGCAAGUCAGAUGUGAAAUACCGCGGCUUAACCGCGGGGCUGCAUCUGAAACUGUGUCUCUUGAGUGUCGGAGAGGAAAGCGGAAUUCCCAGUGUAGCGGUGAAAUGCGUAGAGAUUGGGAGGAACACCGGUGGCGAA